UUUUAGUUAGUUUAUGAUUAAUUUGCAAUUAGUUUAAAUGGAUAAUCCAUACUAUAAU
rnacentral:tRNA from 1 species